UCUCCCAUAUUUUUGAUUGACCACGUCUCGGGGAUUCUUCCUUUCUAAGCUAUUAACUUAUUAUAUACCCGUUUUUUACUAAAACCUAAAAAACCAAAAACCAAACAAAAAGAUAACCAGAAAGGCUUGUGAAGCUAUUCUGAUGAAUAUAUCUUCCCCGUGAAAAUUUAUUUACUUCAAUAAAAAAAUAAAUGAUUUGCUGAUUUGCUCUCAUAAAGCUUUAUAUCAUUCCCUUCUGGAAGAUUCACCCGGUUCUCGUGUUCUUCUUCAAGUAAUGAAAUUCCAUCAUUGUUCUUCUUCCCUAUUAUAUCUGAGAAAUUAUGGAUAUGAUUAAUAUUCGUUUAAUUCCAGAUAAAGAUUAUUGUUAGAGUUUACUGUAAAUCUAAUUUGUGACUCUUAUUAUAAUUAUUGUUCCUCCCUGAUCAUACGAUUCUUCUGCUCUUGUAAUCAUUUUUUAUCCCUAAUUUAUAUUUCAUGCUAAAGAAACAUUUGAUAAGAUUUUCUAUGGAUUUUGGUAUCACAUCAGGUGAGCAUCAUAUAGCAGUACGAUUUUUUUGGUAUUGAUUUAUAUAGAAAUAAAUAAUUUAACUUGUUUGUGCAGCAGUUGCUUGAUGAAUUGUCCCAGCUAAACAGAAUCACACUAUAAAGAUUUUCUUUGUCAAACUAUUCUGCAGAAAUGCUUAUGGAUAUUGUCUGGUUAGAUUUGAAAGUUGCGCAUGGUUUCUGUUUCUCAAUUGUAUGUGGAACGGGAAACACCAUCACCAAGCACUCUCAUUUACCUAACGAAUUAUGGGAGCAUAGUAAUUGGUCUGGAUGCAGAUAGAGUGAUAAAGAUAGACUUCGUACCACCCAGUGAAACUUGUAUGAUUGCAUUGCCCAAGAAGUUAUGCAGAUUGGAGGAGGCUUGUCCCUGAAGGAGGACGUUGGGAUAGCUUAAAUGUGUGUACUGUUCUAUAAUUAAUCAAUUAGUUUUUCAUACACAUUUCCACUUUAGUAUUAGGCUCCAUUUGGAACAUGCUAGACUUUGAAAAGGUAUCAUCUAUUGCAUUGGUAUUAUUGUAUAAGCAUUAAGUCUCUUUGUUGAAUUAUGAACCUGACAGUCGUAUUUGUUACUUAGAGCAAGUUUGAGUUUAAUGUUCCUUCACAUCGAAGAACAAUAUCCACAGAAAAUCAAUGAAGGUGUUAAGCAAAGUCAUGCAAAGGAAGCACAAAAAAAAAAAAAGCAUAAUCCCUACACUCUUGAGGUCUUUUGCACAGACAAGGGUAAAAGGAAAAAGCAUUCCUCACAGCUGCUCUUUGCGAUAUUACAGUUAACAAGGGGAACUAUCCCGUCGCCGGAUUAAAAACGGUUCUUGAUUCUGCAGAACUUGUGUGAGGAGGAGUUGCCACUAAGGGCUUUGCUAUUGUCGGUAAACUGCAGUUAGUAUACCUUGGCUCCUGCUUAUUGGUGAAAAUUCCAUGCGGUUGUUCCAGAUGUUGCUGCUACGAAAAAGGUACUCAUUCCCAUAGUACUAAUUUGAGAUACUUAUAGCAUCAUCAUUGCAUAUUUGGUGCCUCAGUGAGUUAAAAUUCACUUAAACCUUAAGGCAGGUACCUAACUCCAGUUGUUUUGAGGCCCUUUUUUCUGAUGUACCUAGCUAUGUUUCUGUAAUUUGAGCGUUAGAAAUAUCAAUAUCGAAAUAGGAUAACAAACUUGUUAAAUGUUGUGAACUGCAAUUGGGUGUCGAUUCUAGCUCGAUUUUCUUUUGGAUAAAUAAAAUGGAAAGACAGCUACUAGAUCUUGAGACUGUAAAACCUUUCUCAGCGUUACUGAACAUUGAGCUCAAGAUGCCCUUGUUACUCAAGGACUGAAGUUUGUAAAUAAGAUUGAUGGCUAAGGAAGUAAUGAACUUUGCUCUCAGAUCAGGUGGAUUGAUUCCGAGGCUUCUGCGGGUGGUUCUCACAAUUGAGGUUCUUUGUAGCUAUUCAACACACUUUCACUGUUACUGCUCUUUGAUGGAGACAUUUCUAUGCAUUUCACGCUUGCUUGGUAGAAUCUUUAUCAACUUUUCACAUUCUUUUUCAUGGAACUAUCGUGAUGUUUGAAUGGUCUCUAAUAAUUUGUUCACCCAUUCCACCAUCAUGGUCACCAAUCUGCUGUCACUAAAGUUGAUAGUCGUGGUUUUGUCACUAAUCUGUGAAUUUUUUGACUGGUUUUAGUAGUGGAAUUGUAAUUCUAAUGUAGUGUGUACUCAUUAUUAUAGUGUUCUUGUAGCAUAAUUAUGUUGUUAUAAAACAAUGGCAUGACAAUUACAAAAAUAGAACAACAGAAUUAGCCGAUCGGGACAGUAUUGAUUCCAUCUUGAACUCUAUAUUCCAAACUUUGUCUAGUUAAGUUUUGACUUUCAUGGUUGUAGUUGUUGUGAUGUUCUUGGUUAAAUCCAAAGGCCAUAAAUAGGCAUAAGCGUUAUCGUCUUUGCACAAUUCUCUUCGUUCUGUGGCUGGUUUCCAGAUUUUUUUUGUACCAGAUCUUCAUUUUGUUGUACUGUAGUUCAGUUCCCCACAACGAGAUGGUAUUUCACAAACAUGCAGAUCGAAAACAAGAUGAAAGACAGAUUCUUCUUCUGAACACUAUACUCAUUUCAGAUUUGAUGAUGGUUUAGUUUUGAUUUAUAUGAAUUUUGUUUUGUGAUCUAAUUAUUGGAGAUGGAUGUGGAGAUGGUGAUGAUGCAGCGCCUGCAGACUCUGGUCCUAUAAGGAAUUGACGUAGGUGCAGUGGUUGGGUUGUGUAUGCGGAACAUCAUACAUUCAGUAAGUACGUGGUGAAUGUGGGGGUGAUGCUUAUUGGGAUUAAGCAUAUGGUAGCUGGUGGUGGAAGAUUGGGGUUUGGUUCCAUUACUUUUCCUGCGGCAAUAAGCAGAGAGAGGUUAGUCGGCUUGCUGCAGUGCCGAUGCUUGCUCAUGAAUGCAAUAUCCUUUCCUCAAUUUGAUUUUACCAGCAGUUAGACAUGCUGCAGCCAAAAUUGGUGCCUUUUGUUGAGGCAGGACAUGGUGUUUGGAAUCCUGCAGAGGCAAUGCCACCAGCUAAUCCAGCCGCACCAGCUCUAGCAUCAGCGACUGAACCAGCAAAAAUACCAGCACCAAUAACUGAGCAGCAUAAGCCAUAGAGCACUAGCAGAAGGAAUCAAGGUGCCUGAUUCUUUUUAAUAACAUCCGUGGAUAUUAGAAAAACAAUUGGAUUUUUUUUUUUUCAAAUGAGAUGCCUGACUCAAAAUUUUUGGAUGGUUACUGGAUUCACAUCUGGACUUUCUCUGAUUAUAGUUUUUUGGAUAUGGGUACCAUCUGGAUACAAGAUUUUAUAUAAUUUCUUGUUUAACUUAUCUUUUUUUAGUUAAUUUGAAUGUGUAUUUAUUUUGGU